AGUAUCGUUAGCAAGUCUGAUCAGUGGCUUUAGACAGACGGUGUCCAACAUAAAAAGGAUUUACUGGCAGUACUGGCACAGAACGCAUGGGCCCAAUGAUAACUUUGCUAUAUUUGGAGCUUAACAAGAUAUUUAGGGCUUACAAACUGUAACUGUAACCGUGAUAAACAGCAGACUACAGGCAACAGACACACAGAGAGAGUGAGAGCCGGCAGCUCCAGCUACAACACAGCAGAGGCCCAGCAUCACCAGUCCAAACCCGAAGACCGCGAGGCUCAAACUGAUCAACAUCUGCGUGUUCAGACAGAACAAAUGCACUGCUGAUGAGUAGGAUCAUUCUUUCGGCAUUACCAAAAUCAACAUUCUGUGAAUUUAAUUUUAUGUAGUGAUAUUUGUUUUUAAUCUGGUGGCUACAUAAGAGGGUUUUUUUUCAUUAAAGUUUCAUUAAAUAUUAGUGCAUCAGUACAUUCCCAAACCCAUCACUUCCUAAACCAAACCAUACUCUGUAAAGAAGAUUCAUCCUGUGGUCUUGCUGGUCAGAUACAGUCUGGCUCUGUUGGUUUUCAGUAGCGUCCCACUGGGCCAGAGAGCUUUCGUAGUCCAGAUUGAGAAUCCCAAUGGGUAAAACCCGGAUCCCCCAGUAAACACUCUUCACCCUGCGGAAGGUGGCAUCCUGCACAACACAGCGGUAAGUACCUAAAAGUGAAAGCUGAUUAAUUGGCACAUUAUUCAAAUUAUGGGUUUACGUGACUGACAAGCAGUCAAGUGUGUGUGUGUGUGUGUGUGUGUGAGAGAGAGACCAUGCAUGUGUGUCAAUUGUGCGGGUAUGUCUCUGUUAGAUUUAAUCAAAUUUCAAUACUUCUUCCAAAGAUAUCAUAAUGAAAUAUUAAAUUACAUUUAUUUAUUAGACUGAUUUAUUUUAACAGUUUAACAGGUCACCUAAAAAUGAAAUGUUGUCAUUGUUAUAGUUAGCUACUAGUUUAAAACACAUUUUAUGGUAAAGCUAAUUUAUUUAAACAUCAUUUUCUUUUAAAUGUGUCUUUACUUACUUGAGAAUGAGGAACUGUAGAGUCUGACAUACACAUAAGUUCCUCCAACCUUAUCUUUUUUGGAUGUUCAGUUGCCAAAUACAACUUUCUCACAAAAAUUCUCACAAAACCCACUGGCCAACCUCCCCUUAAGAGCUCAGGUUUUAAACUUAAAUCAUAUGUACAAUUCAGACUGUGUUUGAGUACCUGCAAAGGUGUGUUUACCUGCGUCCUCCUCCCUGACGGGGUCCAGAACCACUCGGUCCAGCAGAGGAGCAUCCCAGCGAGUAAAGAGAGAGUCAUCAGAGCUGAUUAUUCCUCGAGCGUAACGCCAGGACACUCUGAGCCGUAAAAGAAAAAAUUCCACUGAACACUGCCCCCAAUAAAAAGUUGUUGCAUUUACAGGAUUACCAACUGGCCAAAGUGGGCUACUAUCUCAGGGCCCUGGACCCCUGUGGGGCCUCAAAAGGUCACGGUUCACUGGCAAUUACUUUGUGUUUAUUUGAUGAAUUAAUAUACACCGAAAUUUCCUAAAGACUAAUUUCAUACCAGGCUGAAAAGCAGUGUUUCACAGCCCGCUCCAGUUCCAGCCUGUUUCACCUCUGGCCACAGCCAGCAUCAUGGAUAGGUGUGGUUGGGUUUGGUCACACCCACCAGUGAUGUCCCAGAAUCAUAAAGUACACCUGUACAUCACUACAGCAAGGUGAGACAUUAAACCACUGGAGGUUAGCAAAAACAAGGUCCUAUUUGUAGUGAGCUCCUGUUUCAGAAUCUAGUUUUUAUACCUUUAUUAAUAAUUCAGUGACUUUAAUGCUUUAAUAAUGCAUAUUCUUGAAUAAAUUUACAUUUAGUCAACUUAUUACUAAACUAUGGGAAUAUGAAAGGACUCGGUAUUAGGGAGGCUAAAUAUGGGCCCACAGCAAAAUUUUGCCUUGGGGCAAACCUGGUGGGUAAAUCCAGCCCUGGGCUGAGGAAACUAGGCUAAACACACUUUAAAAAAAACACAUAUCAUCACAAAACUUUCCAUUGCAUUCUGCAAUUGGUAUCUAACUUUACAAGAUAAGACUCACAUCGAGCCAACAUUUACAUUUUUCCCAUUGUUUGCAAUCAAAAGGACAAGAAUCACUUCUCUCCUACAUCCUUACCUCCAGGAGAACCUCCCCAUCGCCUCCAUGACUUCUUCCAGACAGUCGAUCUCAACUCUCUGUCCUGAAGUCACAGUCAUAGUCCUGAGUCCACACUGCAGCGACUCCCGACAUGACACCUUAUGGACACGACACUUCUUCGACACCUUCAAUUAAUCCAUUUCACAUGCAGAUGAUGUAAACACAGGGUUUGAGUUUUCACACCGAGCCCACAGGUGGCGCUGCAGGGGGAGCUGUCAACAAUGACCUCCACCGGCACUUCAUCCGCAUCCUCCAGGUCAACUGAGGUCAGAGGACAGAGGACGAGGAGGAGGAGGAG